GCUCUCGCAGGAGGCCUGCCUGGCCUUCAUUGCUGUGCUCAAGUACAUGGGCGACUACCCGUCCAAGAGGACACGCUCCGUCAACGAGCUCACCGACCAGAUCUUUGAAGGUCCCCUGAAAGCGGAGCCCCUGAAGGACGAGGCAUAUGUGCAGAUCCUGAAGCAGCUGACCGACAACCACAUCAGCGCUUCCUGCAGUCCCGAAAGCACUGCCCACUCGCCAUCGACUGCCUGCAACGGCUCCAGAAAGCCCUGAGAAACGGGUCUCGGAAGUACCCUCCGCACCUGGUGGAGGUAGAGGCCAUCCAGCACAAGACCACCCAGAUUUUCCAUAAGGUCUACUUCCCUGAUGACACCGACGAGUCAUCCUGCUGUGCUCCCUGGACCCCUCACUGUCACUCAGGCUUGUACAUCCUGGCCCAGGACUCUGGACGCCAAGGCCACCUUCUGCUUGGAGGGUCGGGAGGAGGAGACCUGGGAAGACCCAGACAGGAGUAGCCCUUUCCUUUUGUUAAAUGCCAUGCCCAACUCUGGGCCCACAGGAGGGUGUCUGGCACGGGAGGGGGCUCAGUAUAGGAGGCAUAGCCAGACGGGCCCGGGAGGACCAGGUCCCGGGAAAGGCCCUGCAGGAGCCCAGUGCUCACCGCCCCUCCCAGGCCUUCGAAGUGGAGUCCAGCACCAAGGCCAAGGACUUCUGCCAGAACAUCGCCACCAGGCUGCUCCUCAAGUCCUCAGAGGGAUUCAGCCUCUUUGUCAAAAUUGCAGACAAGGUCAUCAGUGUGCCUGAGAAUGACUUCUUCUUUGACUUUGUUCGACACUUGACAGACUGGAUAAAGAAAGCUCGGCCCAUCAAGGACGGAAUUGUGCCCUCACUCACCUACCAGGUGUUCUUCAUGAAGAAGCUGUGGACCACCACGGUGCCAGGGAAGGACCCCAUGGCUGAUUCCAUCUUCCACUAUUACCAGGUGGGCACCUCUGCACUCUAGUUGCCUUCAUGCACAGCUAGCGUUGCUGUACUUUGGCCCUGAAAGCAGAGACCCACUGACCUUGCCACGUGUGGGGCCCGUACCAGCCUGGCCUCGAAGGGAUUCCUGCCAAGACCACUGGAACCCCAAGGGACGACCCAACCCCUGAUCUUUGUAUCUUCUGACUCUUCAGCUCUUAGGGGCUUGACAGUUCCUCCUCUGAGCUUCCGAUCCCUACCUGUUCAGGCCCCUCCUUCAGUGCAGGGCUAUCUUCUGACUUCGAGAUUCUGCUGUUGUAACUCAGUAAUUCCAAGGCCUCUGUGCAAACGUUUUCUAGCACAGGCACCUGCAGGAAGCCGGGUGGGAAGCUUGCAUGUUGAACCUCUAUUAUGCGUCUGGCACUCUUCUCUCAUUCUGUCCUCCCAACUAACCCCAAGAAGCAGGCAUGUUGUCCCCAUUUGACAGAGGGACAAACAGACUCAGAGAGGCCACGUGCUGUGAUUAGGAUCACACAGCUGAUGGAACUGGGGUUUGAUUCCAGGUCUUCAUGACUGCAGGAAUUGCCCAAGUAUCUCCGAGGCUACCACAAGUGCACGCGGGAGGAGGUGCUGCAGCUAGGGGCGCUGAUCUACAGGGUCAAGUUCGAGGAGGACAAGUCCUACUUCCCCAGCAUCCCCAAGCUGCUGCGGGAGCUGGUGCCCCAGGACCUUAUCCGGCAGGUCUCACCUGAUGACUGGAAGCGGUCCAUCGUCGCCUACUUCAACAAGCACGCAGGGAAAUCCAAGGAGGAGGCCAAGCUGGCCUUCCUGAAGCUCAUCUUCAAGUGGCCCACCUUUGGCUCAGCCUUCUUCGAGGUGAAGCUAGGAUGGGAGGCCUUUUGAGAAGCUCGGCUGUGCGAGGAGAACAGCAAACUACGGAGCCAAACUUCCCUGAGAUCCUCCUAAUUGCCAUCAACAAGUAUGGGGUCAGCCUCAUCGAUCCCAAAACAAAGGAUAUCCUCACCACUCACCCCUUCACCAAGAUCUCCAACUGGAGCAGCGGCAACACCUACUUCCACAUCACCAUCGGGAACUUGGUGCGCGGGAGCAAACUACUCUGUGAGACGUCACUGGGCUACAAGAUGGAUGACCUCCUGACUUCCUACAUUAGCCAGAUGCUCACAGCCAUGAGCAAACAGCGCGGCUCCAGGAGCGGCAAGUGAACAGUCUGGGGGAGGUGCUGGUUCCAUGCCUGCUCUCGAGGCAGCAGUGGGCUCAGGCCCAUUAGCUACCCCUGCAGCUGGGGAAGACUUACGCCAUCCCAGCAGUGAGGCUGGGCUGGCCAGCCACCACUGACCAUACCAACUGGGCCUCUGAUGUUCUUCCAGUGAGGCAUCUCUCUGGGAUGCAGAACUUCCCUCUAUCCACCCCUCUGGCACCUGGGUUGGUCUAGUCCUAGCUUGCUGUGGCCUUCCCGGUUGUGAGAGCCUGUGAUCCUUAGAUGUGUCUGUUUCAGACCAGCCCCACCGUGCAACUUCCUUUGACUUUCUGUGUACCACUGGGAUAGAGGAAUCAAGAGGACAAUCUAGCUCUCCAUACUUUGAACAACCAAACCAAAUGGGCAUUGAAUACUCUAAAACCGAAGGGACUGGAUCUGCAGGUGGGAUGAGGGAGACAGACUACUUUUCUAUAUUGCAGUGUGAAUGCUGGGCCCCUGCUCAAGUCUCCCCUGAUCACCUCAGGGCAUAAAGCAUGUUUCAUUCUCUGG
rnacentral:sRNA from 1 species